rnacentral:rRNA from 1 species
AGGGUGUAAACGCUGCAGACUUGGUGUUGGAGGCCCUUUGGGGGCAUUCAGUGCCGGAGGGAAGUUGUUAAGUCUGCUACUUGGGGAGUACGUCCGCAAGGAUGAAACUUAAAGGAAUUGGCGGGGGAGCACCGCAACGGGAGGAGCGUGCGGUUUAAUUGGAUUCAACACCGUAAAACUCACCAGGGAAGACUGUUACAUGAAGGCCGAGAUGAAGACUCUGCUAGAUUUUCAGAGAGGAGGUGCAUGGCGUCAGUGACU